rnacentral:ncRNA from 2 species
AUCGGUGCCGCAGCGCCUGGCCCCUGAGGCCUGUGUAUCAGGGGUGACGAGGGAGGGGAACUCGAACAUCGGCGGGUGACCCUAGGCCCAGUUCCGGGCCUGCACCGACCCCGGCGCCCGCCGGGGUCAAGACGGCCCACAAACCCCGGAGGUAACUCCGGGCCAGAAGGCCGCCGGGAACAGGA